rnacentral:rRNA from 1 species
UCAGAACUAACGCUUGUGGUGUGUCUUAGUCAUGCAAGUCGAACGAGAAAGUCGCCUUCGGGUGGCGAGUAAAGUGGCAAACGGGUGAGUAACACGUGGGCAAUUUGCCCCCGGGUUGGGGAUAACAUUUCUAACGAAGUGCUAAUACCGAAUGACAAGGCGAGUUUAUGACUCGUUUUUAAAGGUGGCCUCUACUUGUAAGCUGCCGCCUGGGGAUGAGCCCGCGUCGUAUUAGCUUGUUGGUAGGGUAACGGCCUACCAAGGCGACGAUGCGUAGCCGGCCUGAGAGGGUGAACGGCCACACUGGAACUGAGACAAGGUCCAGUCUCCUACGGGAGCCAGCAGUCUAGAAAUUUGCACAAUCGCCGAAAGGCGGAUGCAGCGACACCACGUGGAGGAUGAAGCCGUUCGCGGUGUAAACUCCUGUCAGGAGGGAAGAAGGUGCGGAUGUUAAUACCACCCGCUACUUGACGGUACCUCCAGAGGAAGCUCCGGCUAACUACGUGCCAGCAGCCGCGGUAAUACGUAGGGAGCGAGCGUUGUUCGGAUUUACUGGGCGUAAAGAGCACGUAGGCGGGUAUGCAAGUCGGUUGUGAAAUCCUCUGGCUCAACCAGAGAACUGCAAUCGAAACUGCAUACCUUGAGUCCAACAGAGGGAAUCGGAAUCCAAGGUGUAGCGGUGAAAUGCGUAGAUAUCUUGGAGAACAUCAGUGGCGAAGGCGGAUUCCUGGGUUGGUACUGACGCUGAGGUGCGAAAGCUAAGGUAGCGAACAGGAUUAGAUACCCUGGUAGUCUUAGCCGUAAACGAUGGGUACUAGGCGUUGGGGGACAUUGACCCCCUCAGUGCCGUAGCUAACGCAUUAAGUACCCCGCCUGGGGAGUACGGCCGCAAGGCUGAAACUCNAG